CAGGCCUAACACAUGCAAGUCGAACGGAAAGGCCCUGCUUUUGUGGGGUGCUCGAGUGGCGAACGGGUGAGUAACACGUGAGUAACCUGCCCUUGACUUUGGGAUAACUUCAGGAAACUGGGGCUAAUACCGGAUAGGAGCUCCCGCUGCAUGGUGGGGGUUGGAAAGUUUCGGCGGUUGGGGAUGGACUCGCGGCUUAUCAGCUUGUUGGUGGGGUAGUGGCUUACCAAGGCUUUGACGGGUAGCCGGCCUGAGAGGGUGACCGGCCACAUUGGGACUGAGAUACGGCCCAGACUCCUACGGGAGGCAGCAGUGGGGAAUAUUGCACAAUGGGCGGAAGCCUGAUGCAGCAACGCCGCGUGCGGGAUGACGGCCUUCGGGUUGUAAACCGCUUUCGCCUGUGACGAAGCGUGAGUGACGGUAAUGGGUAAAGAAGCACCGGCUAACUACGUGCCAGCAGCCGCGGUGAUACGUAGGGUGCGAGCGUUGUCCGGAUUUAUUGGGCGUAAAGGGCUCGUAGGUGGUUGAUCGCGUCGGAAGUGUAAUCUUGGGGCUUAACCCUGAGCGUGCUUUCGAUACGGGUUGACUUGAGGAAGGUAGGGGAGAAUGGAAUUCCUGGUGGAGCGGUGGAAUGCGCAGAUAUCAGGAGGAACACCAGUGGCGAAGGCGGUUCUCUGGGCCUUUCCUGACGCUGAGGAGCGAAAGCGUGAGGAGCGAACAGGCUUAGAUACCCUGGUAGUCCACGCUGUA
rnacentral:rRNA from 1 species